rnacentral:rRNA from 1 species
AUUGAACGCUAGCGGGAUGCCUUACACAUGCAAGUCGAACGAGUGGCGAACGGGUGAGUAAUGUAUGGGGAUCUGCCUGAUGGCGGGGGGUAACUACUGGAAACGGUAGCUAAUACCGCAUACCAUCAGAUGAACCCAUAUGGGAUUAGCUAGUAGGUAAGGUAACGGCUUACCUAGGCGACGAUCCCUAGCUGGUCUGAGAGGAUGAUCAGCCACACUGGGACGGAGACACGGCCCAGACUCCUACGGGAGGCAGCAGUGGGGAAUAUGGCACAAUGGGCGCAAGCCUGAUGCAGCCAUGCCGCGUGUAUGAAGAAGGCCUUCGGGUUGUAAAGUACUUGCAGUCGGGAGGCGUUACCGACAGAAGAAGCACCGGCUAACUCCGUGCCAGCCGCCGCGGUAAUAC